UUGCACGAAAGCACUAUGGGUUAGCAGUGGCCUUUUUCCCAUCACGGUCUGCAUUUAGAAACCAAUAUCCAUUUCCUUCAUUGGCCCAGUUGGCUUCCAUAAAGAUAUCAGAUCUAUUCCUUUCUUCUGUAAUCUCCUAUAAUCCUAUAAUCUUCUCCUAUAAUCCAGUUUGCUUCUAGUCCAGGUUCCUCUAACCUCACUUGGAGCUACCCAUAGCCUUUCGUUUUACCUCAUGGGUGGCUGUGGUUUUCAACAGUGACUGCACACCACAAUACUUGAGGAGAUUCUGAAAAUCCAGAUGCCUCAGCUAUGCCUCAAACCAAUUAAAUCAGAACCCCUGGCAUGGGACCCAGCCAUGGUUGGGAAACACUGGCUUACUAGAAACAACUUGAACUUUAAGCCAAUAAAUAAAAUUAAAUGUCUGGGUUUAAGGGUCAGUUCCUCUGCUUAUCACCAUACAAUCUUGGAGACGUUACUUUACUUUUUUCCUAGCCCAGUUCUUCAAAUGCAAAACCCCCAGAUCAAUGCGUUCCCAUCAAAAUUGUUCUGCAAAACUGGUCAACCCUAUAAUCGUUCUACAACUGACCCCAGAAUAAGAAAAAGAGACACAGCCACUGGGACCAAGGAGGAUGGGGAAUGGGGAGGAGAAUAGGCAUGAGGUGCUAAAAAUCUGGCUUGCCAGCUAGGAAACACUGGUUGAGAAUAAUGUAGGACCAGUUGCUCCAUGAGGUUCCUUUCAUCUCUAAAAAUUGGUAUUCUAUCCAUGUGUGCAAAGCUGGCAAGAAGAUAAAUUUCUAUGCUUCCACAUGGAUCAGAGGAGAUUGUGAGUUGCCUAGAUAUGAUGCCUUUUUUUUUUUUUUUUUUUUUUUUUUUUUUUUUUCAGAUUCAGGUCAUCAGGCUCAGAGAAUUUGCUGUUAUUGCCAGUCCGUCCUCACAAUGUAGUAAGUCCUCACUUUCCACAUGCUAGGCUAAACCUUUUAGUUAUUACCACUCAUGUCCAACCGGUUGGCUCCACUGAGAGACCAACAGGUGAAGCAAAGUCAACCACCCAAAGAAUUUUAAAACCUUCAAGGAUUUUUAUCAAAUCUCUUGCCUUGUCCCAUUUUUUCAGCUACUUCUGCAAAGACAAGCCAGAGAGAGGAAGCAAACCUUCUCACAUAUCUUCUAAUAAGGGCAAUAAUCUUGUUGUGAAGCCUCCACCUGAUAACCUGAUUAUCUCCCUAAGGCCCCAUCUCCAAAUACCAUCACAUUGAGGUUUAGGGGUGUAUUAGUCCAUUCUCACACACUAUAAAUAAAUAACUGAGACUGAGUAAUUUAUAAGGAAAAGAGGUUUGAUUGGCUCAUGAUUCUGCAGGUUGUACAGAAGAUACAGUGGCUUCUGCUUCUGGGGAGGCCUCCAGCAACUUACAAUUAUGAGGGAAGGGGAAGCAGGCACAUCUUACAUGGCCAGAGCAAGAGGAAGGUGGGGAGGAGGAGCCACCCACUUUUAAACAACCAGAUCUCAUGAGAACAGCAGCAGGAGAUGGUGCUAAACCAUUCAUGGAGGACCACCCCCAUGAUCCAAUCACUUCCUACCAGGCCCCACCUUUAACAUUGGGGAUUACUUCUUGACAUGAGAUUUGAUAGGGACACAGAUCCAAACCCUAUCAAAGGGUUUGAUGUACAGAUCUUAGGGGCACAUAAACAUUAAACCCAUAGCAGACACCCCUUGACAUCAAUCACAGACCUCAGUCAGCCAUUGACCCAGGGACGGUCAUGGUAUUAUUAACCCACCUGAGGAGGCAUGCUUCAGGGAGGACUUCCAUGUUGACACCUCCAACGGAAGGGGCCAAUGAAGGCAGCCUACUCGAUCCCUCAGAGCUUGUGCCUCCUCCCACUUGUCAGGAGUAUACUUUAAAACCCCAUGCGGAGACACUGGCAUUGCCUACCCAGAGAUGAAGGCAGCAUGGGCUCUUCCUCCAAGGAACCCCGAAAGCACGUAGUUUUCAGUCUUAUUAUAAAGGCGAGGGAUUAUAAAAGAAAAAAACAGUGAUGCUUCUUAACUGUAGUAAUAAUAAAUACGUUUGCAUCAGUGUGGCAUAAGGCCUCUCUGUAGAUAACCUGGCUCUUGAGUGGAAAGCAGACGGCCCUGUGUGAUUUUGUGGCUGAGUGCGGCUGAGCAUCUCGGGGGCAGUGGCACACUGAGCGAGGCCGAGUGAUAAGGAAGAAAAGGUGCUAUGCAGACCUGUCCCUUCUUGUGACUCUCUGGCAAUUCCCUACUGGGUUGGCCUUCUGGCCCCGUCAGCAGACCUCGGCCUGGCUUUCUCACACUCUUCACCUCUAGUCUCCAGUCAUGCUGGCAUUCCUGUGGAUCUCCAAACAUAUUGGUGCCAGCCAGCCUCAGAAACUUGAGCCUUGCUUAGUCCAUUUUCUGGAAUGUUCUUUUCCAGAUCCUUAUGUGGCUGUCUUCUGCUUAUUCUCUCAGGAGAUCUUAUCUUGAAGCAUUAAGAGCAAGAACACUGGAGCCAGCCUGCCUGGGCUCAAACCCCAGCUCUGUGUGCCUUUGAAAUACAAAAGAGAAGCCGUUUGCUUUACUUAAAUCCUGAAUCUUUGAUCAUCCACAUCAGGUGUCUUUGAUGUUGGCUGCAAUCUGUAAUUCCUGGUUUGGACUCCUGGUUCCAGCCUCUGCUUGCCCUGUGGCCUUCACAGCCUCUCUGAAGCCAUUUCUUCCCGCCUGUAAAAGAGGAAAAUAACCUGUAGAGCAGCUGUGAGAAUUCAGUGAGAGAUUGGGGCUGAAGAGUCACUCAAUGAAAUAUUUUUUCCUCUCCUUGCUCUCCCACUAGCCCUUUCCCCUUCCUUUGGUUGGACUUGGUUGUUUCC
rnacentral:lncRNA from 1 species